AUGAACGCUGGCGGCGUGCCUAAUACACGCAAGUCGAGCGAACAGACGAGGAGCUUGCUCCUCUGAUGUUAGCGGCGGACGGGUGAGUAACACGUGGAUAACCUACCUAUAAGACUGGGAUAACUUCGGGAAACCGGAGCUAAUACCGGAUAACAUGUUGAACCGCAUGGUUCAACAGUGAAAGACGGUCUUGCUGUCACUUAUAGAUGGAUCCGCGCCGCAUUAGCUAGUUGGUAAGGUAACGGCUUACCAAGGCAACGAUGCGUAGCCGACCUGAGAGGGUGAUCGGCCACACUGGAACUGAGACACGGUCCAGACUCCUACGGGAGGCAGCAGUAGGGAAUCUUCCGCAAUGGGCGAAAGCCUGACGGAGCAACGCCGCGUGAGUGAAGAAGGUCUUCGGAUCGUAAAACUCUGUUAUUAGGGAAGAACAAAUGUGUAAGUAACUAUGCACGUCUUGACGGUACCUAAUCAGAAAGCCACGGCUAACUACGUG
rnacentral:rRNA from 1 species